rnacentral:rRNA from 1 species
GUGGGGAAUAUUGGACAAUGGGCGCAAGCCUGAUCCAGCCAUGCCGCGUGAGUGAUGAAGGCCUUAGGGUUGUAAAGCUCUUUCAGUGGGGACGAUAAUGACGGUACCCACAGAAGAAGCCCCGGCUAACUUCGUGCCAGCAGCCGCGGUAAUACGAAGGGGGCUAGCGUUGUUCGGAUUUACUGGGCGUAAAGCGCACGUAGGCGGAUCGUUAAGUCGGGGGUGAAAUCCUGGAGCUCAACUCCAGAACUGCCUUCGAUACUGGCGAUCUUGAGUCCGGAAGAGGUGAGUAGAACUCCUAGUGUAGAGGUGGAAUUCGUAGAUAUUAGGAAGAACACCAGUGGCGAAGGCGGCUCACUGGUCCGGUACUGACGCUGAGGUGCGAAAGCGUGGGGAGCAAACAGGAUUAGAAACCCGGGUAGUCC